ACUUCUAUCUCCCUUGCUCCAGCCGCCUCUCGUGCUACUCACUCUACACAGGAAAGCGACGCACCACCAUAGCAUCUAGGGAGAAAAUGCAUGGCCAUGAUGGCUCUCAUGCCAGGGUGCAAGCUUUGCGCGCGGUUGCCUGAACGCAUGCGUGCCAGCUUCCCUAGUGCACGCGACGGCAGCGGCGUGCGUCCAGCGGUGCCGUCCAUUAGGUGCGUGGCUUGCUGCUUCACACGGGGUAGCUGCGAGCGAGCCGAUCUCCGCCGCCCACAAACCUUCCUCCACCUCGUCGAUGACCCGUGUUCAGGACUUGUAAGGGUGGGUGUGAUCUGCUUUGUAGGGCAACUUUUUAGAGUUCUUUUUCAUCUUGAUUUUCUUUUAUCUUGAAUCCUUCCUCUUAUGAUCUUUGCUACCUUGCAAGUUAUUUUGUUGCUUCAUGACAUCUUUAAUUGGUUUAUUAUAUUGUACCUGACUUUUUAUCUUGUGACCCGUGGAGAGUUUGGAUUGGAAAGGCAAUGUUUGAGUCCAUCACGGAGGGAGUCGUGAAAGGGAAAAAGAAGAGGAUCAAAAGAUCCCGACGAAAAUUUAGCUAGAAAAUUUGCCAAGUCCAUCUAGUUGUCCAUGGUGGAUUCGAUUUGGUUAGAUGUCUUUUUCCUUUGAUUUGAUUUGGAUUUGGACUUGAAUUGGAUUGGUUGGCUGUGAGUUCAAGUCUGAUUUUGGAGAGUUUUCUUUCUCAUCUAUGUUGCGUCCAAAGCAAUUUUUUAUUCGAUCUUCACCAUCAAUAUAAAUAGCCAGACCAAAAAAAAUCCAGACCAAGAAAGAGGCUGAAAUUUUGCCUCUUUAUUAUUAGGGAUAGAUAUAAGUAUUGUAUUCUAUUUGGUUUUGAUCUCAAUUUGAUCUGAAUUGUAUUCGAUUUGUUCUAUUGGAUUUCGGAAGGGAGUCAUCGGACGUGGGGCUUUCAGGGGUAGAAAAAACUGUGGUCUUGAUUUUGUAUUGUAUUCUAUUUGGUUUUGAUCUGAUUUGUAUUCGAUUUGUUCUAUUGGAUUUCGAAAGGGAGUCAUUGGACGUGGGGCUUUCGGGGGUAGAAAAAACCUAUACGGACUGUAGAUUGGCAGAAAAAAAAGGCAGACUGAAAUUUUAGCUCUUUAUAGAUAUAUAGAUUAUCUUGUCACGUAAACAAAGGGCUUAGGUGAGGAACAAUUGGGAGUGGCGUGAGUCUCGCCCGUGAAUAGCGGCGUCGCACGGCUGGCUUUCCUAAGUUCCAAAUAGACAGAUGCAUUUGGGCCGUAAUUAACGAGUUAGGCCUUAUUUAGCACUUUCGUUUGUAUUUGACAAAUAUUGUUUAAUAAUGGACUAACUAGGCUCAAAAGAUUCGUCUUGUCAGUUUCGAGUAAACUAUGUAAUUAGUUUUUAUUUAUGUCUAUAUUUAAUAUUCCAUGUAUAUGUCUAAAGAUUUGAUACGAUUGGAAAUCUGAAAAAUGUUAUAAAAAUUUUUGGAACUAAACAAGGCCUUGUUAAGACCAAAAUGCGCCUAGAGUGGGCCUGUCGACCGGAAUUCGCCCGGGCUCAAUUGGAAGUGAACCAGGAAGAUUCUGCGAUUACUUGUUGUUGCCAUCAGAAGAUAAACUGGGGCUGAAAGAUGGGCCGAGCUGGUCUCAGAAGGAAAUAUAAGCCCAGGAUUUCAGGGGUAGCAAGCAACUCGAAUGCACAGGCCGAUAAGGUGAUAAAAGAAAAAGUCUACCUUUUCUUCUCCAACUUUCACGAAAGUCCGCUUUUCGUUCCUCAACUCCGAAACCGGAUAAAUCAUCUCUCUCAACUUUUCAAACCGUGCAUUUUAUAUCCCUGGAGCGGUUUCGAAAGCAGUUUUUCUACAGUGACGGUGGUUUUUCUUUUUUAAGUAUUUUAGCUGAAUCUUUGAAAAAUUAUAGUAAAAAUCACAGAAAAAUCAUAAAAUAAAAAAUCUAAUUUUUUUUGGACUCUACGUAAGUAGAUCUACAUAGUAAACAUAUAACAUGGUAUGCUUUAGUACAAAAUUUUUGCUAUAAAGGUUUUGUCCUUUUCUUUUUUUAUUUAUUUGUCUGAAUCUUUUGAAAAAUCAUAGAGAAAUAAUAAAAUAGAAAAUCUAAUUUUAUUAGACUCUACAUGAGUAUAUAUACAGAAUGAACAUAUAAUAUAUGUAUGUUUAGUCCGACAAAAUAAUUUUAGAAGCUGCAACUAUGAAUUAUUUCAAUUAAUUACACAGAAGCAUAGAUCUAAAGCUAUAACAAAAAAUUAUACUAAAACAUACCAUAUUAUAUAUUUACUGUGUAGAUAUGCUCAUGUGGAGUCUAAAAAAAUUAUAAUAUUUUAUAAUUUUUCUAUAAUUUACUAUGUUUUUCAAAUAUUUAUCCAAAAUAAAUUUUAAAAAAAAAGACAAAACCUUUAUUGCAAAAACUUUAUACUAAAGCAUACCAUAUUAUAUGUUCAUUGUGUAGAUCUACUUAUGUAAGUCCAAUAAAAUUGGAUUUUCUAUUUUAUGAUUUUCCUGUGAUUUACCAUGAUUUUUCAAAGAUUCAAUCAAAAUAAUUUAAAAAGAAAAAGACAAAACCAUAGCAAAACUACUAUUCACUGACAGACGAUCAUUUCCUCCGGACAUUCACCAGCUUGUGAUUUCAAACUUUCUCUGCUGGACGACUAGUGUAAGAAUUAGCCCGCGGUGCAUGCGUCCCAGCGUUGUUUGACACCGGGUCGAUCAGUGAGUUUGUUAGUGCACAUGGCAGAAAGAACAGUGUGACGACGGGCUGCCUUUUCUCUCUCGUGGUGAGCAGGUCUUUUGCAACAAUGAUACUGGGGAAACCAGCAUUUGACAUUUUUCCUCUCUGACUUAGUUUCACCAUUUUGCUAUAGGUUCUGCAUCUAGAUUCGCUUGACACGCGAAACCCCGAUGGAACACCACGGAUUUCUGCACGGAACGGACACGAAGCUUGUCGACAAUCCUUGAGAUGGACACGAAGAAAAAUGGCUCGUUCGGAAAAUGCUUGGUGAGUUUUUCUGUAUCACUACUCCUCAGCAAUGGCUGUUUUUUUUUUGUAUGUAUGUGUGUAGAAUGGCUGUGAUUUUUCUAUCUGUUAUGAAUGCAUUGUCCUCCUCUCUGUUCGGUUCAAAUAUUACAACCAAAUGAAAAAAAAGAGCCGCUGAUAGUCGUUUCGCAAUCCUCGGAGGUGGCCCAAAAUAGUAAGGUUUAUGUCCGCAAAUGUUUGUGCUGGGUGCAGCCCACAGGUACAAGUGUCUUCUUUGUAGCUACGUGAAGGGUGUCCCCAACGGUGAUCGGACGGGUCUAAUUGACUUUCUCUUAUUGUUUGAUUUGUGAUGAAUGAUUGUCAACGUGAUCUACGACCUAAGUUGAGUUGGUGACUAACCAUUGGCGUGACUUAGGUCGUGCCACAUGUCUCUUGACUUGUGGUGUGCAGGUAUGGAGCUUGGAGGCGGUGGUCGACGGCGAGGAAAAAGUCAAGUAGAGACGUACCAUGCCGAUAGAUAUGGAGCGGUGAAGGGCGGACACGAAGCUUGGACUGACGGACCAGGAGGCCGAGUGACUAUCCGCAGUGGCUGAUAUCUGGGACAUCGGCAAGUGCAAGUGUACAUGGGAGUGACCGUGUUGACCAAGUCAAGACAGCGGACGUGCGAGUCGAGCAAGGAUCAGGAGGACUUAGCGGGCCGACCGAUCAAGGACAGAGGUGACAUGUGUCAAGUGGCGGGGGAAGUGUAUGGAGUACCCUACUCGCGGCGGGUUUCGCGGGUUUGGGCCUCAAAACCCGGGCGGAGGUUCCGAGAAAGGGACGACACAUAACGGCAUCAAGGAGUUAGCGUCAAGACUAAGCUACCUCAUGAAGAGCGCGGUAGCCAUCGGAUCUAGAUUAUGUCGAGUUGGACUAGAAUAUCCCUGUGGCUAACUAGUUCGUUCAUAAAUAUCCAGAGACAAAUAAGGAAUAUAUAAUAGUCUGAUAAAUAGGGAGGAGGAGUCCCCCAUUCCCUUCACCUCUCUUCCAUUCUCUUUCCUACUUGUGGCUAGGGUUUCAUUUUUCCUGUCAUUAAAGAGGUUAAAAACAAAAGAAAUUUGUGGCUGUAUGUUGAUGUGAUUUUGGUUGGGAAAGGAGAGACCUAAGUCCUCCUUGUGGUUCCUAUUUUGAAGUUGU
rnacentral:lncRNA from 1 species